AGCCGAUUUGGUCCUAGUCCCCUUAUUAGCUAUUUUGAAGUUGCCACAUGCAAGCCAUUAAGCUCCCCAGUGAAGUUAUCGCCUAUCUUUUCCCCACUAAAAGAUCGGAAAAGAUGGGCUAUGGUAUCAGGAACACAAGCAUACCGCCCAAGACACCAAGCAAAACGCCACAACUGCAGUGCUAAAAAUUUGACAAUCGGAAGCCCCCGGAUCUAGUUAAGAAAUAAUUAAGGAGGUAAAGUACGUGCCAGCCACCGCGGUUAUACGUACCUUCCUAGAGCUAAUUACUAUUCGGUUCAAAGGAUGGUUAAAGUGCGUCUAAUUAAGCAUAGCCCUAAGAUAGUGGUAGAAAACUUACCUUAGAAGAAAACCCCAGCUUAAUCUAAAACUUGAUGCCAUGAAAACUGAGACCUAAACCAGGAUUAGAUACCCUGCUAUACUCAGAAGUAAACAACCUCAUCACCAGAGAACUACAAACAACAAAGUUUAAAACUCAAAGGACUUGGCGGUUUUUCAAAUCUCCCUGGAGGAGCUUGCCAUCUAACCGAUAAUCCACGUUAUACCUUACCAACUUUAGAAUUAACAGCUUGUAUACCAUCGCCGUAAGUCUACUCCCCCAGGAAGUUGACAGAAAGAAAUACCUUCUAGACGUCAGAUCGAGGUGCAGCUUAUAUGUUGGGGAUAGGUGAGCUACAAUGUUCAACAUUAGACCAGUGAAAAUAGGAAUGAAACUUCCUUUAAAAAUUGGAUUCAGCAGUAAGCCUCAGAAGAAAAUGGGACUGAAAAGAGCUCUGAAAUGCGUACACAUCGCCCGUCACUCUCACCUAGCCUCAAUAGCAAGAUGAGAAAAGUCGUAACAUAGUAGGCGUAUCGGAAGAUGCGCCUGGAAAAUU
rnacentral:ncRNA from 1 species